GGAGGACACUUUAAGAACGUCACCUGUGUUCAUUUACACAUCCGAGAUUGAAAAGCACUGGUGUGAGGUCUACACAGGCUCCAAAGCCAGAUUGGGGGACCCCAGUGCUGCAAGACAACUUGCAAUGCUGCAAGACAACAAGUGCCCCUGGGAAAGUUCUGAGUGUCUCUGUGCCUCAGUUUCCCCACACGCAAGAUGAGGAUGAUGGCACUGUCUCCCUCAGCAUGGUUGUGAGAAUUAUACUCACACACAGAACUCAGCGUUUGUCGUUACUCUUACAAAAUCUUCUGUUAUUUUCCCAGCAACUGCUCUGACACCAGGCAUUGUGGAGAAACUGCGGCCCCGAGAGUUGGAGACACUUGUUUAGAGUCACAAAACAAAGCUUUUUGGCUGUAAGGCAUUUGUAAUCUCCAGCCAGGGAUCGAACCCACAGCUCCUGCAUUGAAAUGAAGUCUUAACCACUGGACCACCAGGGAAGUCCCAACACAUGUCCCAUCUAAGGAUUCCCUCUCAGUAGCCCUUCACAGCCCUUGUUCCUUACAUAUCCCCUCCCCCAACAGUGUGCAGCUCCAACUCCACACACAGGGACCUUCCCCCAAAUCUUUACUCCAAGUUCCCCUUUCAUUCCUUGAAAUUUAUCCUCCAUUAAGUUGCACAGUGUUUUUUUACAACUUCUCUUUCUAGUUGUGGAUUGUAAAUUUUCCUUCUGCUGAGUCCUGUAGCUGGCUGACUGUUUUUCAUUAUAUUUGUAGGCCUCAGGGAAAAAAAAAUAGGCAAUUCCUUUAUUUGAGAAUCCUGACAUUUAUUAGCAUAAUAAAACUCUCAAGAUGAGAUUGCAGUUUUCCAGACAGUAAUUUCAUUUGCAGGACAACUUACAAGGAAUUUAUUUUAAGGCCAGGUAAAACCUAAAAUCUAUGAGACAUGCAGAAAAUGCGGGCCCCAAAUAAAAGGAAAUAAAUGAGCUGGGCAUGGG